GUAGGUGGCAAGCGUUGUCCGGAAUUAUUGGGCGUAAAGCGCGCGCAGGCGGUUCUUUAAGUCUGAUGUGAAAGCCCACGGCUCAACCGUGGAGGGUCAUUGGAAACUGGAGAACUUGAGUACAGAAGAGGAAAGCGGAAUUCCACGUGUAGCGGUGAAAUGCGUAGAGAUGUGGAGGAACACCAGUGGCGAAGGCGGCUUUCUGGUCUGUAACUGUCGCUGAGGCGCGAAAGCGUGGGGGAGCAAACAGGAUUAGAUACCCUGGUAGUCCACGCCGUAAACGAUGAGUGCUAAGUGUUAGGGGGUUUCCGCCCCUUAGUGCUGCAGCUAACGCAUUAAGCACUCCGCCUGGGAGUACGGCCGCAAGGCUG
rnacentral:rRNA from 1 species